UAGAGAUCCUGCCCUCACGGGUAGACCUCCAACCCAUGUGUAUUUAUACCUCGUUGCUUCGGCAGGCCGUCUGGGCUUCGGCUUAGCCACGGGCUUCGGCUCGUGAGUGCCUGCCAGAAGACAUUCAAACUCUUGAUAUAAUUGUCGUCUGAGUAAAAACUUAAUAAGUUA
rnacentral:misc_RNA from 1 species